rnacentral:lncRNA from 1 species
CGCCGGUGGCCGCCGCCGGGCGCAUCGUAGUCGUCUUCCUCCGUAGUUGUCGGGGGCCGCAUGGAGCAACGGGAGGUGGACCUGCUGCCUGGUGACGAACUCUCGGAGGAUCGUCGACUACGACUAUAAUGCCGCCGGUGGCCGGACAUCUGUGUUUCUCCGUGGGGUGCAGGACUGCAGGUCGGUGUGUCGAGGUUUUUCUAUCGGUGGCGUCGGGCCGUCGGAAGAAGUUGAAACGGAGGAGGAUAUAUAUCCGUGGCUUCGAACCGAAAAGAGGUUCGGUUUCGGACUUUGGAAGAAUUUAUUUUUUUUUUAGGAAACAGGAGGCGCAUUGGCCCCUACUGAAAUUUAUUAAGCAAAAGCAAAAAAACAAUUACAAUUACAGAUUAAUCUGGAUCGUCAAUUUUUUUCCAUUUGUAUAUAUCCUCGCUAGUCUCUACCUA